rnacentral:rRNA from 1 species
AUUGAACGCUGGCGGCAUGCUUUACACAUGCAAAUCGAACGGUAACAGGUCUUCGGAUGCUGACGAGUGGCGAACGGGUGAGUAAUGCAUCGGAACGUGCCCAGUAGUGGGGGAUAGCCCGGCGAAAGCCGGAUUAAUACCGCAUACGACCUGAGGGUGAAAGGGGGGGAUCGCAAGACCUCUCGCCAUUGGAGCGGCCGAUGUCAGAUUAGCUAGUUGGUGGGGUAAAGGCCUACCAAGGCAACGAUCUGUAGUUGGUCUGAGAGGACGACCAGCCACACUGGGACUGAGACACGGCCCAGACUCCUACGGGAGGCAGCAGUGGGGAAUUUUGGACAAUGGGCGCAAGCCUGAACCAGCCAUGCCGCGUGCGGGAAGAAGGCCUUCAGGUUGUAAACCGCUUUUGUCAGGGAGGAAACGCUCUGGGUUAAUACCUCGGGGUAAUGACGGUACCUGAAGAAUAAGCACCGGCUAACUACGUGCCAGCAGCCGCAGUAACAC